rnacentral:rRNA from 1 species
ACUACGGGGGGCAGCAGUGGGGAAUAUUGCACAAUGGGCGAAAGCCUGAUGCAGCAACGCCGCGUGAAGGAAGAAGGGUUUCGGCUCGGAAACUUCUAUCAACAGGGACGAAAGAAAUGACGGUACCUGAAUAAGAAGCCCCGGCUAACUACGGGCCAGCAGCCGCGGUAAUACGUAGGGGGCAAGCGUUAACCGGAAUUACUGGGUGUAAAGGGGGAGUAGGCGGCAUGGUACGCCAGAUGGGAAAGCCUUGGGCUUAACCCGAGGAUUGCAUUUGGAACUAUCAAGCUAGAGUACAGGAGAGGACAGCGGACUUCCUAGUGUAGCGGUGAUAUGCGUCGAUAUUA